GAUGAACGCUGGCGGCGUGCCUAAUACAUGCAAGUCGAGCGAACGGACGAGAAGCUUGCUUCUCUGAUGUUAGCGGCGGACGGGUGAGUAACACGUGGAUAACCUACCUAUAAGACUGGGAUAACUUCGGGAAACCGGAGCUAAUACCGGAUAAUAUUUUGAACCGCAUGGUUCAAAAGUGAAAGACGGUCUUGCUGUCACUUAUAGAUGGAUCCGCGCUGCAUUAGCUAGUUGGUAAGGUAACGGCCUACCAAGGCAACGAUGCAUAGCCGACCUGAGAGGGUGAUCGGGCACACUGGAACUGAGACACGGUCCAGACUCCUACGGGAGGCAGCAGUAGGGAAUCUUCCGCAAUGGGCGAAAGCCUGACGGAGCAACGCCGCGUGAGUGAUGAAGGUCUUCGGAUCGUAAAACUCUGUUAUUAGGGAAGAACAUAUGUGUAAGUAACUGUGCACAUCUUGACGGUACCUAAUCAGAAAGCCACGGCUAACUACGUG
rnacentral:rRNA from 1 species